rnacentral:rRNA from 1 species
GACGAACGCUGGCGGCGUGCCUAAUACAUGCAAGUCGAACGCAGUGGGGACGGGUGAGUAACACGUGGGUAACCUCCCAUCAGAGGGGAUAACACUUGGAAACAGGUGCUAAACCGAGACUGAUGGAUGGACUCGGGGUGAAUUAGCUAGUUGGUGGGGUAACGGCUCACCAAGGCCACGAUCCAUAGCCGCCCUGAGAGGGUGAUCGGCCACACUGGGACUGAGACACGGCCCAGACUCCUACGGGAGGCAGCAGUAGGGAAUCUUCGGCAAUGGGCGAAAGUCUGACCCAGCAACGCCGCGUGUGUGAAGAAGGUUUUCGGUUUGUAAAACUCUGUUGUUAGAGAAGCGGUAUCUAACCAGAAAGCCACGGCUAACUACGUGCCAGCAGCCGCGGUAAUAC